rnacentral:rRNA from 1 species
GUAGGUCCCGAGCGUUGUCCGGAUUUAUUGGGCGUAAAGCGAGCGCAGGUGGUUUAUUAAGUCUGGUGUAAAAGGCAGUGGCUCAACCAUUGUAUGCAUUGGAAACUGGUAGACUUGAGUGCAGGAGAGGAGAGUGGAAUUCCAUGUGUAGCGGUGAAAUGCGUAGAUAUAUGGAGGAACACCGGUGGCGAAAGCGGCUCUCUGGCCUGUAACUGACACUGAGGCUCGAAAGCGUGGGGGGAGCAAACAGGAUUAGAUACCCUGGUAGUCCACGCCGUAAACCGAUGAGUGCUAGGUGUAGGGAGCUAUAAGUUCUCUGUAUCGCAGCUAACGCAAUAAGCACUCCGCCUGGGGAGUCGACCGCAAGGUUG